GAAGUAGGUUAACAUACAUCUAGGUGAUUUCUUGCAGUCCUUUUUUCUUUCUUUCUCUCUUUCCUUUUGCUAACUGACUUAAAUAUGGAUUUUUAAAUAUGGAUUUUGUAAUUCCAUAAGUCCAUUUUCAUUUAUUUACUGUCUAUGUGACUUGAAAAGAACAGGUGUCUGGGAUGGGCGCAUACAGAACAAGUGUCAUUGCUAGGCAGGUGACAGAGUCGGGGAAGAUGUAAAACCACUGGGCAGAGGAGGGCCAGGGUGCAGUGACGAGGCAGCUCUGCAGCUCUGCCUGCCUCCAAUGUGCUCACCCCCACACACCCUGCUACACGUGUGGCCUUUGCUCUAUCUCUCUUCUGGUCCCUGUCGCAUCACAGGCAUGUCAUCUCUGGGGAGUAUUGAGGAAUGUUUUAAUUUGCUCCAAGGAUGUUUGUCUAGUGGAUUGGUGGUGGGGUGAUUGUCUAGCCUGGCAUAGGGAAGAGUUUGGUAGUGAAUAGAUGGUAGUUAAGCACUGGGGCUUGCUUUUUAAUGGUUAGAUAUUGAACACAUUCUCCUGGGUUGAGUUCUUCCUAUCUGGAACCCCUCCCCUCCCCCUCUUCCAUCUAGAUGGGAGGUGUAACACCUGAGGCAAAGCUCAGGGGAGGAAGGGGAGAAGCCCACAUCCAGCCACCAGCCUACCCCCAAUCUAUCUGACUCAAUUUCAUGGCACCUCCUUAAGAGCACAUAUCUCUCCAUUGUUUUUUUCUCUUUCUUAAGAGGGUAUGAAGGGGUGAGGAUGGGAAGACAGGGAGGGACCUUGUUACAAAGCGUUGGGAGUGGCAGGCAGAGACUUUCUAACUCCUUCUGUAGGCACCUGGUGGGUUUAGAACAAGGGAGGGAUGGAAACUGACCUGCAAUUUAGGAGGGCCAGUUGCAGUGUGUUUCAAGUAUCAGUUGGGUGUUCUGGCACGGACCCAAAGUCCAGGCGUGGAAAAAAGACUGGCUGUUAACUUAGAAUGAAGUAAGGCAAUAGGUAUGAGACACACUUCCCAAGAUCCUCUUCUCGCUUAUAUAUUUUAUGAGGUUUCCAUAAGAACCUACUUCUCAGAAGACCUGACAUGUGGAGAGGCAGACUAGACAGGUCCCUGGGAGGCUUCAUGGCAACAGAGUGAGCGUUGCAGACAUGUCACAGUGUGAAAGGAGAAGUGGGUUGGUUGAUAGUUGGUCUCUGGUUGGAAACAGUUUACUUUUAAAGUUUAACUUCUUUUUCUUUUCUAAAUUUUAUUUUAUGUGCAUUGAUGUUUUGCCUGCAUGUAUGUCUGUGUGAGGGCAUUGGAUCCCCUGAAACCGGAAUUAUAGACAGUUGUGAUCUGCCAUUUGGGUGCUGGGAAUUAAACCCUGGACCUGUGGAAGAACAACCAGUGCUCUUAACUCUGGGCCUUCUUUCCAGUCCCUAAGUUUAACUUUUUAAAAUUUAAAUAAGUGUGUGUGUGUGUGUGUGUGUGUGUGUGUGUGUGUGUGUGUGUGUGUGUGUGUGUUAUGGCUAUAGCUGCUAGUCAGUGGAUGAAUACCCAGUUUUUUUUUAAAAAUUUCUCUACUUAUGUUAUUAUGUUAUAUUUUGCCCUUUAUCUAUGUGUAUAUUUGUGCACCAUGUGUGUGCCUGAUGCCCUUGGAGGCUAGCAGAGAUGUUGGUUCCUGUCAUGGUUUGAAUAUGCUUGGCCCAGGGAAUGGCACUAUUUGGAGGUGUGGCCUGUUGGAGUAGGUGUAUCACUGUGGGUGUGGGCUUUAAGAUCCUCACCCUAGCUACCUGGAAGUCAGUCUUCCACUAGUAGCCUUUAGAUGAAGAUGUAGAACUCUCAGCUCUUCCUCUACCGUGUCUGCCUGGAUGCUGCCAUGUUAACCUUGAUGACACUGGACUGAAUCUCUGAACCUGUAAGCCAGCCCCAGUUAAAUGUUGUCCUUUAUAAGACUUGCCUUGGUCAUGGUAUCUGUUCAUAGCAGUAAACCCUAACUAAGAUCUCUUGGAAUUGGAAUUACAAACAGUUGUGAGCUGCCAUGUGGGUUCUGGGAAUCCAUUCGGGUUCUCUGGAAGAGCAGCCAGUGCUCUUAAUGCCUGAACCUUCUCUCCAGCCACCAUGUCCAGUUCUGAUGUAGGUUCUGGGGGUCCAAACUCAGAUCCCAUGCUUUCUCUUUAAGCACAGAACCAUCUCCACAGUCCCCUCCCCCACAUUUAACUUGCCUUGGAUCUAUGUUCUUGUCGUUGCUUAUAAAUCUGCCUUGUUCUUAGCUAACAGACAUUUGGAUUGUUUCUGUUUUGUUUUAUUGCACAUGUGGUACGAACAGGCUUUGAGCAUUGUAAGAGCACUUCAAGGAAUAUCUCCACUGAAAGGAAAUCCCUCAGGGUGGAAUUGCUGUAUUCAAGAGUAGGGACAUUCUACAGUUUUGACGAGCUUUUAAAUUUCCCUAUUCAAACAUACCAAUACUCUUUUUUUUUUUCCUGAGGGACAGGGGCUGUGGAGCCAAGGAGGUAGGGUAAGGUAGAAGGAGGAGGGAGCCGACGUGAGAGGGGAAAGACGAGGCUUUGAUUAAUAUUCAGUUGUCACUCUACUGAAAUUAUUAAUUUGUGAAUAGAUGGUUCUGGAGUCUUUUAUCUCUUCAUUUCUACCCACCCCUGGCACCCCAAAAUUAUGGAGCUCAUCCUGUCCUGGAGGCUAAAACAGACAGAAAUGAAUUUGAGGAUGAAGGUGAUGACCAUUGAUAUACUUGGCCUGGGUCACAGGGAAUAGAACUGGGCGUCUCCUGGGAAGCCUGGCUUCUGAAGGACAGGGCUGACCUCACUGUGCACUCAUAGUAUCUGAGGACCAGGGAGCAGCUUGACUGGGUUGCUGGCAGGAACAUUUAGUGACUCCCCUAGAGUGGCUCAUUUUGGAACUUCACUAGUUCUAGAGUGCGGUUCCCCAGACCAGGAGCAGCCACCACCAUGGGAAAUGGUUGUUCUUGGCCUGCCUCUGGGUCUGCAGAAUCCAGAGGGGACACAGCAGAGUUGAUUUCCAGGAAAGCAUCUGUAUUCUGCCCUUUCUGGGGGGCAGAAGUGACUUAGGGACAGCACCUCCCCUCCUGUUCCAGUGAGAGAGGGCCCUUGUGGGUGUGCCAAGGUCUCCCAGGAGGUCAGCUUGCUUUUUCUCUUCUCCAUCAUGGAUGUAAUCUAUUGGGCUAAUAAAAUGCCACAGAGGCCUCAUUCUGUAGGUCCCCUGGUGGAUUCAAGAUAGAGUCUCUAAUAAGCACUUCCCACAUAUGGGGAUAAGGGAGAGCUAUGCAAAGAAGAAUAACCUAACGGACUUAGUAAUGGUGUGAGCCCUGCUUUGGAGGAGAUAAAAACCACUGUGUUCGCUAAUAGCUUUACCAUCAUAUUUUAGAGUCCAGGAAGUUACACAUAUCAAAGGUAAAUAUCUUUGUCAGGAAAGGGGCCUCUUGGGAUGCAGAGAAUAUGAGGAUAUUAGAAUUGAAAAGGGCAGCUUGAGAUGGUAAUAAAGUCGUGUCUCAUCGAGGAAUAAUAUUGAAAAAUGCUAACACAAAUGAUUGAAACUCUCCGCGGAGUUAGCACGUUAGCUCAGUAGAAUGGGCCGCAGAGACACUGUGCAGAACGGAAUUCCAGAGGUGUUCCGGGCAUGACGGAUGAACCAGGUCUUCAUGUUUCCAGCCCCUAGAGUGGGCAGACGCCACUGGAGCGUGACGCUGGAGUAUAGAGAAACUGACCCUCUGUUCAAAGUGGGCAGAGACCUUUCAUUGUGCUCUGAGAUGGGGGCACAGGCUGAGGGUAAAUGUGGGAUGGUCAACCUUCCCCACCAUAAGAGUAAGGGGAACCCCAAACCUCAUGUAGAAGAAGCCCGAGGCUAAUGGCAGGGUGAACAUUUUUGCUUCUAUAUUUCCAUGCUAUGUGGAGGGGCAGGGGUGAGAUUUCCCCUCCCCACCACCCACGUUUCUCUUAACUCUACUAAUACUAAUGAGCCACCCUGUGCUGGGCCUCCCUCCUGGAGGUGGGGAGGUGGAAAUUUGGACAGACAGCAAGAGAGCUAGAGAACAGGCAUCCUUUCCACUUCUCUGAGGUCCCCACUAGAGGUUCCUGCGUGUGGGGACGGGGUCAUGAAGAUGGCACCUUUGCCAGGCGCGCGCUCUCUCUGCAUCCUAUUUUAUCAUUUUCUUGGUAGCAUCUUCCCAUAAAAGGAACCUCUGAGUUGCCCUGAGGCCAACUGGCUACAGCUACAUCUGUGCCCACUGGAGAUACGUUGAGGGCAAGGAUGCGAGCAUGCACUGGUGAAAGUCUGAUUCACAGAAUUUUCCCUAAGCUGCAGGCGAGAAAAAAAUAAAGAUGGGUUCAAGGUGUUGUAGCAGAUGACAAAGGCUGGACAGAACACAAUUGCUUUCCCAAGUGCCUGACAUCAGGCAGGCAACAAAAAAACCGACUUUGGUAUGAGCAGCCUGGAGCUGCUGGGAGCUACUUGCUUGUGAAGCCAGUCCAGGGCCUUUCUUGUUCGCCUUGGAGGCAUUUGCAAUGAGAGGGGACAUGAUAUUGUCAGAAAGGUUUGCAAAUAACGCCGUGUGACAGUCUUUAAUAUUUGUGGGCAUCUUGACCUUGUAAGAUUGAAAAGACAGCCUUAAUGAAGCAAUCUUCUUGAGAUACACUGCUUCACGCCCCCACCCCGCAUCAAGUGACCUUUUCUUGGGAGAACAGGCUUCUUGUGCUAGCGGCUUUUCCUCCUUCUGGGCUCAUUCUUUCUGAUAGGAUUAACAGGUCCCUAGCCUCUUGCCUCUGAUGCUGUGAUUGGAGGCUGCAGUUGGUGAGCAGAAAACAACUUGCAAGAUGAAUUCCUAACUCGGGUCCUGCAGUGAUCUCGAUAGCAAGGAAGAGAUACAAGGCGGGAAAACACGGGCACCCGUGGUACACGUAGAAGCUGUUGAAACACAAGUGGUUUGCGGAGCUGUAGCUUGCCUCUCUGGAUCUGGGCAGACGCCCUUCUCUUCUCUAGCCAGUGCCUGUAAAUCCUGAAGCCCUUUCCGGCUGCAUUCCCGCAACCUGCCAGAAGGAACUGCAGCGCGGAUUGUGGAGAUGUAAUGGAGUCCUUUCCUCCCCUGGCUCUGACAUUUGUAUUCUCCUCUGUAAAAUAAUCUGGGUCAAAAACAUAGGCACAGCCUUGCUCUACCCACAUCACUUAACAAUGCCACGGUCCUGUUUCCUUUUUUUAGAAGUGAUUUUUUAAAAAAGAGAAUUAAUUCAGGGAAAUAUGUUAGUAUUGGCAGGAGCACGUGUUAGGUGGAAAAGCAAGGCACAGUGACCCUGGUGAGUGGGGCUUGAUACUUUACAAAUUAGGGUUCCUUCCCGUGGCUUCCUGUUGAGAGUUAGUGUAUCCUAGAGUCUUUAGGAAAGAACCCGCCCCCUUCCCCCCAAUAGCAGUUGAAGUGUCUCAAGGGCACCAUGUGUUUGAUACUCUGUUAUUCUUGUCUUUGCACUGGGGACCAGAGAGUCUGAGAUCAAAGGCCAGGGGCUUCUCAGACCCUUUUUGCCUUACUGAGGGUGGAGAAGGGUGAGGGAUGGGUGGGUAAGAGGUGGAUUCUGCUCUUAUGUCGAUGGCUUUUCCCCAUAAUACAGGCUUCUGUUUCUGUCUUUUCAAAUCUUUUCCCCAUUACUUUCUUGAGUUGAUAAAUCAUUACAUUUCUUGUUCUUUCUGGAAGGGUCCCCUCCCCCCAUCUAUAUUGGGGGAUUUCUGGAAAAAUAAUGAAUAGCCUAAGAGAUGAGAUCGAGUUAAUUGCCAAACAAUACAGCUAAUAUUAAGCAUUUUUAUUUCUUAGAUUAAAAUGUUUAUUGCAAGCAGUGUAUUAUGUAGAAUAUUUGGAAAUGUCUGGAGUGUGCAGACCCCCGGAUGCCUUGAUCUUUCAUUUUUUUAUUGAGUAAUUGGAAAUAAAAGAAUCUCAUUUGAUGCAUUUUGAGUUUUCAAAGAAAGAUAAUGUUCUAAAGCCAUAACCUCAAAGAACUAAGCAGUCUCUCAACUGGAGCCCAUUAUUUGAAUCUGUACUUUUAAUAGAAACAUUUAACUCAGAACUCAUUGAUCUGGAAUUUCAGCCCACUUGCUUUAAACUGCACAAUUGGUUUUUCCUAACACAUCUGUUGAAAUGUAUUGAACAUUCACUACAACCUGUCAUUAGGGAGACGUUGAAAGGCCCAGCCACGAAGCUUUUGCUAAGUCGGUUGCCUGGGGAAGUUCUGUGCUUAGCUGCUGCCCUCUGAGGAGGAGCAGGGCUACUUAACCUGAGACUGCAGAGGGGUCAGGUGAGGACCUGGCCAUUUGAUUUCUGCUUUGCUAACCGGGCCAAGCUGCUUUCAGGGCUUUGCUGGUGCUUAAGUGUUAGCUUUCCCCAGUUUCUGCAUCCUAGCUUCUCCCAGUGCCUGCUCUGAGCUCCCAUGCUUCACCGUCCUCUGUCUGUGAUGGGCAGAGACUGAGUGGGAACCACUUUCACGGCCGUCACUGUCUUCAGCGUCAUCUACAUUUCACGAUUUGUCAGGUGUCAUACUUAAACUAGCUUUUAAGCUUUCAAAAGCAAAUAAUACUCCAUAAAAGCAAGUCCUGGGUGGGGGGAGGGAGACACGUGGAUUUAGAAAUGGUGUGCCAUGAAAACCUGUACAGCUAUUGUCAGCAGAGUGACUCUUGGCUCAGAGCAUCCUAUUUGAACCCAGAAGACCACCCAUUUCCCAUCUGAUAACAUACUCAUGUUUUUUUAAAGAUUUAUUUUGUUUUAUGUACAUGAGUAUACUGUAGCUGUACAGAUGGUUGUGAGCCUUCAUGUGGUUGCUGGGAAUUGAAUUUUAGGACCUCUGCUCGCUCUGGUCAAUCCCACUCGCUCCAGCCCAAAGAUUUAUUAUUAUUAUUAUUAUUAUUAUUAUUAUAAAUAAGUACACUGUAGUUGAUUUCAGAUGUACCAGAAGAGGGUGGCAGAUCUCCUAAUGAGUGGUUGUGAGCCACCAUGUGGUUUGCUGUGAUUUGAACUCAGGACUUUUGGAAGAGCUCUUACCUGCUGAGCCAUCUCGCCAACCCAAACAUACUCACUAUAUGGAUGCGCUUGCACCAACAGCUAGGAGUGGGCAGAGGACCUGAACAUGUUGAUAGGAAUUUCCUCCAUGGACUCAAAAUCAGGCAGUGGCUUACAGGAGGAUAAUACCCAACUGCCAUUUAUGCCAGUGGCUUUAUCUGCAUGAGGCUGAGGCAGUCUCUUGGCCCCUCCACCUGGAGUAGACUUCUUGACUCUUAUCUUCAUGAGCUUGACUUUUCUGGCGACCUUCUUUGCCUGGUGAGUGGACCCCUCCCCAUAGCCCCUUAACAGAAUCUAUUUCUAUCUGCCAAUCAAACCCAGUUCUGACUGAUAUACUCUUGACAGGGUUUCUGGGAGACACAAGCUGGUGGGAUGAUUCUCAAUGGAAGACAAUAAACAUUUACAUUUUUAAUUAUAUAUUUACCAUAAGGCACACUGAGAAAAACUAUAAACAUGGUAUUACUGCUUAGAAUAACUGAAAAAUCCAUGGGCUUAAGUUUAAAAAUGUUGUUUUGAAGGAACUCAUUCAUGAAGUGAUGGUGUGGAUAUCUGUGGCUGUAGGGAGAAAUGCAAAUGGGAUGGAUCAAAGUCACUGGCCACUACCACAACUACAUGGGAAAGAAAACUCUAGAUUUGGACUUAGGGAAGUUCUCUAUACUGUCAGGGCCAGGGAUGUUAGAGUUAAGAGAGGCUGGAAGCAGCCAAAACUGGGGAAACCCUUCUGCCAUGGCUUGGGGGAAAGCCCAGGGUUUAGAGUUGAUCUGGGUUGAACUUCUCUGAGAUCUCCAGAUGACCCUUCACACAUCCUUUUGUAUAGCAUUGAGAAUCUGGUCCAGGACCAUGUAUGUUGAAUCUCAGUGGUCAAAUUCACAGUAUCUGGAAUCAGCUAAGAGACAUGUCUAUGGGCACAUACCAGGAGGUAUCGUCUUGAUUAGGUUAAUUGAAGUAGGAAGUCUCAAUGUGCGUGGCACCUUCUGGUGGCAGGUAGACAAAAGGGGGUCCAAGGAAAAAUCUUAUCACUUCAGCCUGGUUGCCUCCCAUCUUGCUGGGCAGUCCAGUUAUCCUGCUUGUGACUUCCUCAGUUCUGUUGCUGUGACUGCCACUACCACUGAACUCCUUCCCUGGUAACAACUCAGCUCUGUGGGUUUCCAACCUGGUCUCUCCAGGAAUCCUUCAGGUCUCGGCACCAGAGAGAGGACUACGGAGACACUUGGCCUCGUGGAAGCAGGUGUGCAGCCUCGUCAGAAUAACGAUACCUGUUCUGGACGACAGAAGUAUCAGUCAAGCCAGAAUCUAUUUUAAGUAGGCUCCUGCUCGCUGCCUUGAAAAAGUAUCCCGGCAGACGACAGUGCCAUGACGGCGAGCAUCCAAGAACACCACAGGAAAGACACAGCUGCGUCCAAAGAGCACAUUCCAAGCUUAUAAAGGCCUGAAACUGGAAAUUUCCUUCCGCUCCCAGAGCCGUCUCCUGAGCAAACAUGUUCAAACAGAGACCUCCAUCCUGUCUUCACUCCGAAUGCGAAAACCUGUCGACAGCCUUCGUAAAAAGACUGUUAGGUAAUUAUCAUCCCCUUGAGCCGGCUAUGAGCUGAAGCAUAUAGCAGAAGAUUCAACCAUUUAGAAAACAAUCCCAAUCAACCUUUCAGGGCUGGGUGUGGCUCACUUGCCUAUGUGCAUGGAGCUCAGAGUUAAGUUCCUAUCGCUGAGAAACAUGAAGUAAAAGAAGCAAGACAAAAACCAAAACCAAAACAAACAAAAAUACCAUCAAGAAUUAAACCAGGACAACCAUCUCUGCUACUGAGGGAGACCUUCCCCUAAUUCUCAGCACCAGGGAAUUUUCCCCUUAAACUUUCCAUCACUUCUGUAAGCUAGUGUUCAAUGGAACGGUACAUAUGUUGUUUUAGCUCAUUGAGUUCGGCUUACUUAGCUCUUUCCACUAAGAUAUGGAAUAAAUCUUUUGGUUUUUAACUGGGAAUGUGUUUUACUCUAAUACUCGAAGUUUCCAUUAGACCAAGGAGUCGGCCCAUCACAGCUGAUGGUUUCUUCCUGUUGGGUAUGGUCACAUAGUUUUACUACAAUUACUAUUUGAUAGUGUCAAAUUUCCUGAAUAUAUUUUCCAUGUCUCUACUUUUUCUUGAUGUAUUUUAAUUCUUUCAUCCCCACCUCCAUCCCCCUCUUGACAAGGUCUCACUGUGGAGCCCUGGGUGUCCUGGAGCUCACAAAGAUCUGCCUGUCUCUCCAUCCAAGUGCUAGGAUUAAAGGCUAGUGCUACCACAGCAGCUUCGGUCACAGCACCGAAUACCUGCAUGAGUUUCUGCUUUAUAUAUCUGAGUUUACUUGAAAUGAGAACCUGUGCGAUAUAAUAAAGGCCUUGGCAAGAAAAGUCUGGUGGGUAUCCUGUGAGAUCCCAUCUGCCAGUAUCAGGAGGGCGUCAAGAAGUGGGUGUAGCUCUGCCCAGUCAAAGCAGCACUGUGGAGCCCUCACUGUUCCUGCCUGUCACAUGAUCCAAAACAGCUCUUCGAGGCAGAACUCACAGACACACACCCUGCCUUUACACCACACCCUCACCCCCAUUUCGUCCCUCUUUCCUCCUCAAGCCAACCAACCAGGCCCUUUCCAGAAGUUUCCUUCAAUUUCUGGUCCGCUACUGAGGGCAACACCUUUCCUGGUGGCCAGGGAACCGUAUGACACACUUUGGGUGUACUCAUAUAGAGACCCAUCCUUAGGAGCCAUGGGCUGGGAGUUUUUCUCUAGUGUUAGAUCUGAGAUCAAAUGCCGUGUGUAACCCCUUCCCACAGAGCGUAUCAGGUGCACCUAUAGACUGAUUUUUAAGGUAACUAAUAUGUGUUGGUGUCGAGAUGCCUAAUUAGCAGGAGGAAGAUGCUGCUGCUGCACAUUCUUUGGCUAAUUAGAUCUGCUAUGAAAUCAUUCACUUGAUGACCACCUUAAUGAAGCCAAUAAAGACCUCUUUUGAGGCAGCCUAUUCUCCCUACCUGAAGCGCCGCACCUCGCUCAGCUACACGGGCACCAGCACGAACAGACUCAUUAUCUCCCCAAUUCUGAUGUCUGUGUUCACGCUCUGUUGGUUUCAUUAGAUACAAAAUAAAAUCGCUACCUAUUAAAAUUGCAUUAAAGCACUAACUUUAACCGCCAAAAGCUCAGGAUCUUAGAGCCUAAGCUGCCAUUGAGCCUCCUGGGCGUGGGAAACGCCUGCAGUUUGCAGACUGCACGGAUCGGGCCCCACCUAGACCUUAGAGCAGACCCUGAUUGCUUUCCCUCAGCUGAACAGAACCGGUGGUGAGAAGACAGGGCUUUGGCUGUUGUUUCAGCGGAUAUCGAUUUCCAGAAUGCAAGGAUUGGGGGAAAGAUAAUUUUUACAACUGUAAGGCAGUGUUUUCCUAAAAGAGCCACUUCCUCUGUUGAUAGCUUAAGGAUGCGUCUAAAAAGGCAAUUGAGCUUCUAGGAGCCUGUCAGAUCGAAGGCAUCACCCACACCGA
rnacentral:lncRNA from 1 species